rnacentral:rRNA from 1 species
AUUGAACGCUGGCGGCAUGCCUUACACAUGCAAGUCGAACGGCAGCAUGAUCUAGCUUGCUAGAUUGAUGGCGAGUGGCGAACGGGUGAGUAAUACAUCGGACCGUGCCCUGGAGUGGGGGAUAACUAGUCGAAAGAUUAGCUAAUACCGCAGCCGAACUGCGGGUGAAAGUGGGGGACCGCAAGGCCCUAUGCUUUAGGAGCGGCCGAUGUCUGAUUAGAUAGUUGGUGAGGUAAAGGCUCACCAAGGCGACGAUCAGUAGGUGGUCUGAGAGGACGAUCAGCCACACUGGGACUGAGACACGGCCCAGACUCCUACGGGAGGCAGCAGUGGGGAAUUUUGGACAAUGGGGGCAACCCUGAUCCAGCAAUGCCGCGUGUGUGAAGAAGGCCUUCGGGUUGUAAAGCACUUUUGUCCGGAAAGAAAUCGCACUUACUAAUAUUAGGUGUGGAUGACGGUACCGGAAGAAUAAGGACCGGCUAACUACGUGCCAGCCGCCGCAGUAAGAC